AAGAGUAAAGUGGAUGCUGAUUCAACAAGCAUAAAUAGGAAAGAGCUUUUGGUUAAAGCGGACCUACAUUCGUUAGAGUCCAAAAUGAAGACAUAUGUGAAGACAUACAUUGACCAAAUAUUUAAAGAUUUGGAGCGUGUGAUGAACGAUAGAUUUACUGAAGUUUUGAAGUCAUUGCAGUAGAAAAAUGAGACUGUGAAGCAGGAAAAAGUUGCAAAACAAAGUCCGAAAGAGGGUCAACAUUCAGAUUAUGUUGCUGAUUUUUAAUGCCAUACUAAUCCCCUCAGUCCCCAUUGUGUCUCAAAAAAAUAGAGAAAAUGAAGUUUACAGGAAACUAUUCUAAAACAAGAGCCGGCAAGAAUGUGAUCCUUCAGAUGACGUUGUUGAUGAUGUAGGACCUACUAGUACUGACAAUAUAGUGUAAGAAACUGACACACCAGUUGAAAUAGAGGAUGAUAAAGCCAACCAAGCGCCAUCAUUUCUCAAGAAUGGUGAACAAGAUGAAAAGGAUGUUGAAAAUGAGAAGCAGAGUGACAUUAUUGUUGAAAAAAUGCAACCGCUUGAAAUUAUUAUUCUAGGUCGAGAACAUGAUUUGACAUUGAUGAUUUACAAGCCUCCACCAACAACUCCAGCAAAACAUGAGAUUAGUGACACCGCAAUUUUAUCUCCCUUUUCUACGCCAAAAAAGAAUGUGUCAGAUGAUAAAAAUGCACCUGCACUACGCUUAAAAAAGCCAUUGAAGAUAUACCAUUCUCCUUUUUUUACCCAUUUUAGAUCAAGCUCUAAAGGAAAGAAAAAGCUCGCUUCUAAAGAGCAAAAAAAAUACCCAUUCGAAGGUUAUCACAUUAAUCGAGAUUCACCUAUUGUAAAGAUGAAAAUAUUUGAAGACUGGAUUAAUGAUGGCCUUUAGAAGCAACAAAAUAGUAAAUAGAUUUCGGAUUGUGUGAUUUCUAUGAUGAAGUAUUAAAGUCUAUUACAUGAGUUACAUUGA